rnacentral:rRNA from 1 species
GUGCGAGAACUUUUCUUAGCUUGCUUGAGCACGGACAGCGGCGAAAGGGAGAGUAACGUGUGGUUACGUGCCCUCGGGUCCAGGAUAGCGUUGGGAAACUGGCGGUAAUACCGAAUGAUAUCUUUGGAUCAAAGGUGUGAUUCCGCCCUUGGAUCGGACCGCAUACUAUUAGCUUGUUGGUGAGGUAAUGGCUCACCAAGGCUGCGAUGGUUACCGGGUGUGAGAGCAUGGCCCGGCUCACUGGGACUGAGACACUGCCCAGACACCUACGGAUGGCUGCAGUCGAGAAUC